UACGAGGGGGGCAAGCGUUGUUCGGAAUUAUUGGGCGUAAAGGGCGCGUAGGCGGUGCGGAAAGUCUUCAGUGAAAUCCUGGAGCUCAACUCCAGAACUGCCUUUGAUACUGAGGAUCUUGAGUUCGGGAGAGGUGAGUGGAACUGCGAGUGUAGAGGUGAAAUUCGUAGAUAUUCGCAAGAACACCAGUGGCGAAGGCGGCUCACUGGCCCGAUACUGACGCUGAGGCACGAAAGCGUGGGGAGCAAACAGG
rnacentral:rRNA from 1 species